GACAGAGGUUGCAAACGUUGUUCGGAAUUACUGGGCAUAAAGCGCACGUAGGCGGUCCGUUAAGUCAUGUGUGAAAUCCCCCGGCUCAACCGGGGAAUUGCGCCUGAUACUGGCGGGCUAGAGAUCGAUAGGGGUGAGUGGAACUCCAGGUGGAGCGGUGAAAUGCGUAGAUAUCUGGAGGAACACCGGUGGCGAAAGCGGCUCACUGGAUCGAUACUGACGCUGAGGUGCGAAAGCGUGGGGAGCAAACAGG
rnacentral:rRNA from 1 species